AGUGAACGCUGGCGGUAGGCCUAACACAUGCAAGUCGAACGGCAGCACAGUAAGAGCUUGCUCUUACGGGUGGCGAGUGGCGGACGGGUGAGGAAUACAUCGGAAUCUACUUUUUCGUGGGGGAUAACGUAGGGAAACUUACGCUAAUACCGCAUACGACCUACGGGUGAAAGCAGGGGAUCUUCGGACCUUGCGCGAUUGAAUGAGCCGAUGUCGGAUUAGCUAGUUGGCGGGGUAAAGGCCCACCAAGGCGACGAUCCGUAGCUGGUCUGAGAGGAUGAUCAGCCACACUGGAACUGAGACACGGUCCAGACUCCUACGGGAGGAAGCAGUGGGGAAUAUUGGACAAUGGGCGCAAGCCUGAUCCAGCCAUACCGCGUGGGUGAAGAAGGCCUUCGGGUUGUAAAGCCCUGUUGUUGGGAAAGAAAAGCAGCAGGUUAAUACCCCGCUGUUCUGACGGUACCCAAAGAAUAAGCACCGGCUAACUUCGUG
rnacentral:rRNA from 1 species